UAAUUGAAGAGUUUGAUCAUGGCUCAGAUUGAACGCUGGCGGCAGGCCUAACACAUGCAAGUCGAGCGGCAGCACAGAGAAACUUGUUUCUCGGGUGGCGAGCGGCGGACGGGUGAGUAAUGCCUGGGAAAUUGCCCUGAUGUGGGGGAUAACCAUUGGAAACGAUGGCUAAUACCGCAUGAUAGCUUCGGCUCAAAGAGGGGGACCUUCGGGCCUCUCGCGUCAGGAUAUGCCCAGGUGGGAUUAGCUAGUUGGUGAGGUAAGGGCUCACCAAGGCGACGAUCCCUAGCUGGUCUGAGAGGAUGAUCAGCCACACUGGAACUGAGACACGGUCCAGACUCCUACGGGAGGCAGCAGUGGGGAAUAUUGCACAAUGGGCGCAAGCCUGAUGCAGCCAUGCCGCGUGUGUGAAGAAGGCCUUCGGGUUGUAAAGCACUUUCAGUCGUGAGGAAGGUGGUAGUGUUAAUAGCACUAUCAUUUGACGUUAGCGACAGAAGAAGCACCGGCUAACUCCGUGCCAGCAGCCGCGGUAAUACGGAGGGUGCGAGCGUUAAUCGGAAUUACUGGGCGUAAAGCGCAUGCAGGUGGUUUGUUAAGUCAGAUGUGAAAGCCCGGGGCUCAACCUCGGAACUGCAUUUGAAACUGGCAGACUAGAGUACUGUAGAGGGGGGUAGAAUUUCAGGUGUAGCGGUGAAAUGCGUAGAGAUCUGAAGGAAUACCGGUGGCGAAGGCGGCCCCCUGGACAGAUACUGACACUCAGAUGCGAAAGCGUGGGGAGCAAACAGGAUU
rnacentral:rRNA from 1 species